ensembl:lncRNA
AUGGGGCAGCAGUGGGGUCACGGUUAUGGGGUUGGGAUAUGGGGGGCGAGGGGGGGACCCUACAAAUGGGAACCACAAUGGGUCAAUCCAAUAUGGCGGCCAAUGGGAUCCAAGAUGGCGGCCAAUGGGAUCCAAGAUGGCGGCCAGUGGGAUCCAAGAUGGCGGCCAAUGGGAUCCAAUAUGGCAGCCAAGGGGAUCCAAUAUGGCGGCCAGUGGGAUCCAAUAUGGCGCCCAAUGGGAUGCAAUAUGGCGGCCAAUGGGAUCCAAUAUGGCGGCUAAUGGGAUCCAAGAUGGCGGCCAAUGGGAUCCAAGAUGGCGGCCAGUGGGAUCCAAGAUGGCGGCCAAUGGGAUCCAAUAUGGCGCCCAAUAUGGCGGCUAAUGGGAUCCAAUAUGGCGGCCAAUGGGAUCCAAGAUGGAGGCCAGUGAGAUCCAAUAUGGCGGCCAGUGGGAUCCAAGAUGGCAGCCAAUGGGAUCCAAUAUGGCGGCCAAUGGGAUCCAAUAUGGCGCCCAUGGGAUCCAAUAUGGCUGCCAAUGGGAUCCAAUAUGGCGCCCAAUGGGAUCCAAUAUGGCGCCCAAUGGGAUCCAAGAUGGCGCCCAAUGGAAACCCCAAUGGGAUCCAAUAUGGCGCCCAAUGGGAUCCAAUAUGGCGCCCAAUGGGAUCCAAUAUGGCGCCCAAUGGGAUCCAAGAUGGCAGCCAAUGAGAUCCAAUAUGGCUGCCAAUGGGAUCCAAGAUGGCGCCCAAUAUGGCUGCCAAUGGGAUCCAAUAUGGCGGCCAAUGAGUUCCAAUAUGGCGGCUAAUGGGUUCCAAUAUGGCAGCCAAUGGGAUCCAAGAUGGCGCCCAAUGGGCCCCAAUGGGAUUUAAUAUGGCUGCCAAUGGGAUUUAGCGUGUUGCCCCACAUCCCGCCCCAUAAGUGUGGGUCAGACCUGGAAUCCCGCCAUGUGGAAGGCGGCCGCCAUCUCCCUGUCCCCAUUGCUGCCCUCCUCACGUAGCACCGCAACGCGGGGACCCACAGAGCCUGGAACAGACCCAUAGACACCCCAUAGACACCCCAUAGAUACCCCAUAGAGACCCUAUAGAGACCCCAUAGAGACCCCAUAACCCCAUAGACACCCCAUAGAGACCCCAUAGACACCCCAUAGAUACCCCAUAGAGACCCCAUAGACAACCCCAUAGAGACCCCAUAGACACCCCAUAGAGACCCCAUAGACACCCCAUAACCCCAUAGACAACCCCAUAGAGACCCUAUAGAGACCCUAUAGACACCCCAUAGAGACCCUAUAGACACCCCAUAACCCCAUAGACAACCCCAUAGAGACCCUAUAGAUACCCUAUAACCCCAUAGACAACCCCAUAGAGACCCUAUAGAUACCCCAUAGAGACCCUAUAGAUACCCCAUAACCCCAUAGAGACCCCAUAGAGACCCUAUAGACACCCCAUAGAGACCCUAUAGAGACCAUAGAGACCCUAUAGACACCCCAUAACCCCAUAGACACCAUAGAGACCCUAUAGACACCCCAUAACCCCAUAGACAACCCCAUAGAGACCCUAUAGACACCCCAUAACCCCAUAGAGACCCUAUAGAUACCCCAUAGAGACCCUAUAGAUACCCCAUAACCCCAUAGAGACCCUAUAGACACCCCAUAGAGACCCUAUAGACACCAUAGAGACCCCAUAACCCCAUAGAGACCCCAUAGACACCC